ACCUUUUGUAUAAUGGGUCAGCGACUUAUAUUCUGUAGCAAGGUUAACCGAAUAGGGGAGCCGAAGGGAAACCGAGUCUUAACUGGGCGUUAAGUUGCAGGGUAUAGACCCGAAACCCGGUGAUCUAGCCAUGGGCAGGUUGAAGGUUGGGUAACACUAACUGGAGGACCGAACCGACUAAUGUUGAAAAAUUAGCGGAUGACUUGUGGCUGGGGGUGAAAGGCCAAUCAAACCGGGAGAUAGCUGGUUCUCCCCGAAAGCUAUUUAGGUAGCGCCUCGUGAAUUCAUCUCCGGGGGUAGAGCACUGUUUCGGCAAGGGGGUCAUCCCGACUUACCAACCCGAUGCAAACUGCGAAUACCGGAGAAUGUUAUCACGGGAGGCACACGGCGGGUGCUAACGUCCGUCGUGAAGAGGGAAACAACCCAGACCGCCAGCUAAGGUCCCAAAGUCAUGGUUAAGUGGGAAACGAUGUGGGAAGGCCCAGACAGCCAGGAUGUUGGCUUAGAAGCAGCCAUCAUUUAAAGAAAGCGUAAUAGCUCACUGGUCGAGUCGGCCUGCGCGGAAGAUGUAACGGGGCUAAACCAUGCACCGAAGCUGCGGCAGCGACGCUUAUGCGUUGUUGGGUAGGGGAGCGU
rnacentral:rRNA from 1 species